AGCCGCACAGCGUCCGGAGUCUGCGGGGUCUGGGGUGCUGCGGCUGCCCUCAGGGCCCCGGAACCCCCAGCCAGAGCUGCUGCUUUACUUAGAGUAUCACAAGCGAAGCUUUGAGGCUCAGGAGAGGGCGCCGCUCCGCCGGCCCACUCCCUGCACAUAGCAGUGCCCAGGUGCUGCUGCUGCUCGGCUGGGGGCCAUACUCGGAGAACUGCCCUGUAAACCCUAAGAAGGCCUGUCAGUCUGUCUUGCUCUCCAAGGCAUCCCAGCGAGCACCGAGCCUGGUUCUGGCAGAUGCAAGGAGUCCACCGAGAGUUGUUGAAUGAACACUUGGGCCUGAGGAAGUGGGAGGAGUCCUGGCUCUUCAGCAGCAUCAAGAAAGGCAAAGAGAACACUCCAUCUCCAAGGUAACAGGUCAUCUGUGCGCGCCAAGGGGAGUGAGUAAACCAAGGAAAUGGACUUGGCGAUGUGAGGAUUUCGUGGCUGCGUGAGGAAAAGAAGAACCGGACUGCGGAUUGCGCAAGUCCACACUCGACCCCGGCUGCCCUUGCAAAGCUGACCACUCCAGCACGCAUUCCAACGGGCUGAGGUCGCACGGCAGUCGGUCGGCUGUGUUUUCCUCUUUGCUCUUAGUAAUGGAAUUUUUUUGGUUAGAGAAGCAAGCUAAACACUACGUUUCUUUGCCUUCCUUGCAGCUCAGUACGACAAAGUGAUUAAGUGAUGACAAAGAGCUGUACGUGUUCUUGAGGCAGAGCCCAGGCGUUAUCUUUGUGUGACUUAGGAAAAACAGCCAUUUCUCAACAGACUAUCCAAAAAUUCGCCUAAUAUGCUGCCUUUGUUACAAGACACCUCCUUGCCAGCUGCUGGAAAGUAGCUGUAAGUAAAAAUACAAUGAUGUUGACGACGUGAAUGGUGAUGAUGGAGAAAGUAAAGUGGAGUAAGCAUGGCUAAGGGAGUCGCUAAAGUGGAGUCAGGAGGUCACUGAGGAAACGGAGCCUCUAGACGUCCAGUUCCUGGAACUAUUGUUGAGUUCUGACCUUACUGUAAACUCAACCCUGACCUAUUGCCAAACUCAGCUCAAGGCUGGACAGCAUACAUCUUGGAUCCACGACUGCUCCACGGACAUGUAUGGACUUGACUUCCUCCUCAUCACGGUCUCCAGACUGUCUGCACUCUUCACCUCGAAAGGAAUCCAUUUCCACAACCAGCACCCUCCUCCGUUUACAUAAUGGGCCUAACCAAUCCCAGCUGGCCUAGCCAACGUCCCUCAGUUUCGUGGAGGACCAAAAUGAGAACGGCUCUUAGGACUUCGCCCUUUAUAAACCCUUUCUUUUUUCCCUUUGGAACCCAAUUUAGGCUGUUACAUAAAUCUGUGCCCUGGAUUGCCGUUCCUCCUUUGCUCAGAUAAACACCUUUUAUCCUUUAUCACAGCCUGUGCUUUUAUUUGUUAAGUUGGCGGUGGCAACCUCUGCCGUCAUCCAGUGUGCAUCCUGCACAGCAGCAUGUGGGCCCUGCAUGUGUGUGGAAGACUAUGAAAGAACGCUGACUCAGCUGGGGAGCAGGCACCUUCUGCCCUUCCCCUUCCUGCUUUCUGGGAUGCAGACAUGAUGGCUGGACUCCGGUAGCCACUUUGGACCAUGAAGUGAUCUGGAGGAUAGAAGUCCUUGCUAGAAUGAUGAUGGAGAAAGACAGAAGGAGCUUGGGUUCACUGUGGAGCCACCAGCCCAGGCCUGGACUAUUCAAACUCCCUUUGCAUGAUAGCAAAAUAACCUUCUAUAUUGUUUAAGCCACUAUCAUUUUGAGUUUUCUAUUCUAGAAAGCUUAACAUAACCCUAGCUAAUUGAGAAAGUCUGGGGGAAAAGAAAAUAUAGCAAAUCCCUCAGUGGACCAGCUCUCAAGGAUAAAUGCUUGGUCUUGAACAUUUUCAACGUCAUAAUAAUGUUCCAUCUCUGAGACACUUUAUGAUAAAUGAACACUUUCUUACUGAGGACAGAAAAGAGGGUGGUCCCACUUGGCCGCAAGUACUCAGACUUGGAUGAAAAGCAAUUCUGUAAUACCCAUAAAUGGAAAAUACAGAUGGCCUUCGACGCAAUUCUAGUUCUGGGAAUUUCUCUCCUUAAAAUCCUGAAUUUACAUUUACAUAAAAUAUUAUGGGGAUAAGAAUAUUCCCUGCUUUUGUUUUUCUUUUGUAAAAGCCGAAGAUUCGGAACAACCCGCACGCCCACCACCUGGGGACUGCAGAAAUAAGCGGUGCCCUAGUGCUCCAGGGAAUGCUGCACCGGUGAAAACGGGGGCCGAUCUAUAUGCCGACGUGCACACGUCUCUGGGACGCAUGGUAAAGCGACAACAGCGGCGUGCAGAGAAGUGUGUGGGAUUAGUGGCCGCCAGAGGCCCCACGUCCCUAGGACAGGAUUUCCCUGCCGUUCACCCAGACGCUCACAACAGUGGCCGCCUGCAAGGAGGGAAUAGACUUUCACAGAAUAAGCUAAAAAAAAAAAUCACUUUUACCAAAUGCAUGCACCAUCAGCUCAAAAACAGAAUUACGCAUGUUUAAAAAAUGGGCGAAACCACAAUGGUGACAGACCCUGUGAUUCCACUUCAGCGGUGGCUCAGCCGCCCUCACAGUCCCCAAGCUGCACAGAACACGCCUGAGCGGCUGCGGCCGGGACGCCUUCUGUGUGAUUUUCUAGUGGCCAAGAAACGCUUGGGACAAAGGUUAAUGGAGGAACAUGUGGGCAUCUGGGGGCCAGAGGCCUGGUGGCACUGUGACAAUGGGUAAACAAAGCUGGUGAGGCUGCCAGAGCAAUAGGAGCUGCCAGAGGACCUGUGACCAAGUGGGGCCCCCCUUUCUGUGAAAGUGGCUCCUCCCACUGCUAGCUGUGUGCAGGCAGCAGCCGUGUGUGUCUCUAGCCCAGACCUCCUCCAAGCUGCAGGCCCGUAUGUCCAUCUGCCAACUCCACUCUUCCUCGUGUCUCCAAAUGAGGAGACACGAGCGUGACAGCCCUGUCACGCUCGGGACAGUGUGGAGGAUCCCGCCCCCUGCCCUGCCGGCUGCCACAGUCCUGACUGUGACUCAGACUCACAUGAGUGUGAGAACCUCAAGCUCCUUCUGGGGAGAGCCUGCUUGGGGGCAGAGGGAGGGAGGGAAGCCGUGGCACUGCUGGGUUGGUCGGAGAGAAAGGUGGGCGCAGGGGGUCUGUGUGCUUCCUCCGGCUCGGACCCCUCCUCGCCCUUGCUGGGGAAGGUAAAAUGAACAUCCAGCAAAGGGACAAACAGAUGGCUCCCAUCCAUCCCGGGGCCAGCCUGCCAGGGCAACGCAGAAAGGGACGUUUCUGCCACCAGUGCUUUGGCACUGUUGACAGCCACUGAGGCCCUGGGGCUCCCGGGGCUUCCCAGAAGUGAGUCCUCAAAGUCUCAGGCCCACGCACUGGAGCAGAGCCCACUCUGGGUGGCAGGCUGGCCCACCACGGAUGGGGGGCGGGGAACUCUGGGUGGGGGCACUCCCUGACCUGCGCAGCUCAGCCCUCUGCCAGCCUCUGCACGCACAGCCACUUCCCCCGCACCCCAGUGGCCCAUCCGGGAUGCGCCGUGGGGCGAGGCUGCAUGCAGGGGAGCUGGGCUGAGCAGAAGGCUCUGCACCAACGGGGGCCUUGUUUAUCGCCCUGCGGGACCUGGAGCCCAGCCCUGGGAGCCCUGGCUGGCACCAGCACCAGGGCAAAGGGAAAAUGUGGUUUAAAGGCAAAGAGGCAGGGGAGUAAAAGAAGUAAAAGCAGUGUGAGGGGGCAGCCUUCUUGGGGGAGCCCUGUUCUGGGGCCUGCGUGAAGGGACAUCACCACCUGCCUCGGAGGGACUCCGCCCUGUCCCCCCGACCCUCCAUAUGCUGUAUUGACAGAAAGGAUGGAAUCUGGGCCUGCUGGCCUGAUGAGACCAUUCAGGGAGUCAGGAGCCAGGCUGCUGGGUGGUCAGGCACUAACCGGCUACUUUGAACCGUGGCGCUGCCCCUUGCUGGCCACGUAACCUCAGGGCAGCGACUCACUGCCCUCCCCUAGGCAUCAGUCUCCCCAUCUGUAAGAUGGGAGAAUGAAGGACCUCCCUUAGAGAGCUGGGAGGAUUUGACGAGUUAACUCAGGUACAGUGGCCAGCACAUGGCACACUAAAGGGGGCAGGGGACCUAGUCUGAAGCUGAUGGGACCUUCCCUGAGGAAGUGCCAUCUGCCCCAAGAUGGGAAGAUACAUGGUGAUCCUCGUGAGAGCGCAGGGCAGAGGGUCCCAGUGUGGCUGGUAGGAGAAGUGUGAGGAAGGGAGCAUGGCCUGGGAUAAAGAGAGACACCCCUGAGCUGGGGCCCCCUCCACGCCCAUUUGCACGACCUGCCAGCCUUGCGUUAUGUAUCACAAGGAGGGACCAGGCUCUCCCCACGCAGAAGCGGCCGUGUGCCCCUGGUCGGGGAGUUCCAUGGGAAGUCCUAUUCCAGCGCACCUUCAGCCAAUUAAAAUAAGAGCUGGCAAGUUUUCCACUGGUUCUAAGUUACCGGAGGAAAAAAACCCAAGUGGAACACAGUUCACUACCUAUGAGAAAAACGCAUGACCUUCUGCAGAAUUUCAGCGCUUGCCAACUCUCUAUUUGAGUAGAGAGAGACUCCGGUUUCAGGGGAGAAUAGGAGCGGGCCAUGUAAUACGCCUACUUGAUUCCUUUCACACCAUUAACCACACUGCCCCGCCCCCCUCCGCCCAGGUGGGCUAGUCCUCAGCAGCGAGCUCCCCAUCUGGAAGCUUCCUCAAUAGUGUGUAACAGGAUCACUGUUUGGCGGGCCCUGGCUGAGUAACCUGAGCCGCUUUCUUGUCUAGGACACUGUGGAAGGGCCGGUGCUUCACGGGAACGACCCUGAAGACAAGGGCCGGCAUUUUGAGGAAUGUUCUGGGUGGCUGGUAACCUGGCGAGGCUGACCGGCUUGCAGCAAGGUCUAUGCUGCGAAAAGGAGGAAGUCACGAAAGGCUGAGGUGCUUGUGGAGUUCAACCAAAGGUCCUGGAGCGGCUCUGAAAUGAAGAUGCGCCCUCUUGACAGAGUAUGACCGUGACCUUGGGAGGAGCCCCGCCCAAGGGCAGGAGGCACAGACCACGCAACGGGCUGGGGGUGGGGCUUCCCCCACCUGGUGUGUGGGCCUGCCUCUCUGGCUGCCUCCCAGGACCACGGUGUCCACAGGCAGAAAAACCAGAAAGCAGGAAAGGAUCUAUCCAUCUCGGCUAGAGACUUCACGGGGUUAAGCACGCACCAAACUGUUUCUCUUACUUUCCAAAAGGCCCACGAGUUUCCAGUUGUAACAGAAGAGGAAUGCACCAAAAAGUCAUCACUUUGUGUAAUGAAGGUCACUCAUUCCACAGGGAAAGGCAAGUCCCAGGCUGAGAUGCCGGGGGCACCCUGAGGUGCUGGCCCUUGGGGCAGGGUGGAGAGCCCUCUGCCUGGCUCUCUGAUGCCCCAGAGGCACUUCGGCCUCCUGCCCAGGUCAUCAGCUCCCUGCCACCCUCACAGGCUCACAGUGGGCCGGAGCCGGGCUCAGGCCAGCCAGGCGGGCCCAUGGCGGGGACACUCAACACCUUCCAGGGCGUCACAUGUGUCUGGCACCACAGCCUCCCCUGAGGGGAACCAGAGGAAUCCUUGGACUGUGACACGAGGCUGAUGACACUGAACACAUCUUCUCGUGUGUGCGCCACCAUAACCCCGAGGAGGAGGGAGUGUUUUUCCCAUCUGGAGAGAUUUAAAAACGAAGUUCCGAGAGGCUAAGGAGUUUGCUCGAGUUCACCCGCCUCGUAAAAGCCAAGAAAACUUCGGAAAAACUUCUGUGUUCCUGUCUGGGGGUGAGGCCUGUGGCCCUCCUCUUUGGGUUGGCUAGAGAAUCUUCUGGGAAGUCUCUGAGCUCCUCAGAGAUAAUGCUUUUCCCCCCAUGCAAGCACUUGCCCUUGGGCCUCGGAGAGCCCAGCAGGCGAGGCUUUGCGGCGCCCGGACCGUGCACGAAGUGGGCUCCUCGUGAGAACUGUGCCUGCCCGCCGGGCAACAAAGGUCGAAGGCAGACAGGGGACCGAUGGGCAUGAAGACUGCACGCCGGGCCGUCUGGGGGACGGCUGUAGGGGGGACUCCAGAGAGUGAAAGUGGCGCGGUGGGGCGAGAAAGGAUGAACUAUGACCCGCCCCCCAGAAAGACAAACAGACCUCCACGGUCGUGGAGGCCGCUUCCCUUUGAACUGGGUUUGCACAACCGUGUGUUUAGGUAUGCCGCCGACCCUUGGACCAGGUGGGACGGGGGCAGCGACACCUCGCGCAGCUGAAAAUCCACACACAACUCUGACUCCUCCUAGCCUCUCACGCCUACGGCUGACCGGAAGCCUUGUGGAAACAAACGGUUGAAGAACGCAUAUUUUGUUUUUUAUGUGUUAUCUACUGCAUUCUUACACUAAAGUAAGCCAGAGAAAAGAAAAUGUUAUUCAGAAAAUCUAAAAGUUCGUCUGCGAGUCUUCUCAAAUUGUCACAGGUCUCCCCCAAUUUUUCCAGUAUAUUUAUGGAAACAGACUCAUGGAUAAGUGGACCUGCCCAGUUCAACCCCGUGUUGUUCAAGGGUCAACUGUGUAACCGGGGCUAGGACCGCGCCAUUCUACCCUUGUGACCAGGAGCUCCUCCUGGCACCCACCACUCCCCCCUUCUCAGGGAAAGGGGUGGCUGGAUACUUGGCAAAGCCUGGGUUCCCUCUUGGGGUAACUACUGGGGUGCCUGCUCCACCUCAGCCUAAAGCGUGGGGCCUAGGCCCAGAACACCCACAGGCAGCCCACCCACCAGUGACCCCAGGAGGCCAGCUGGGCCCGGGCUCUCUGUCUGAGGUUUGCCCCCUGCACCCUGGGGCCAGGGCCUGGGCUCUAUUUCAGCUGCCUGCGGUGGACCUGGACACGCUGCAGGCCCACCCGGGCCCCAUCGACGGACCGCUCCCCGCCUACAAAAUGCCCUCCCCGAAGACCCCGUUGGGCUUCUCAAGCACAGAACCAUCACACAUCAGAGCUGCAGAGAGUCCCGCAGAUCGGAGAGCCCGAGCUCGUCCUUGUGUGGGUGGGUGAGAGCCCGGGAGGGUGACGUGAAGGGCAGAGCUGGGACGUGAGCCGCGUCCGCCUUCUCUGCCAGUUCUCCUUCCGCACCAUUGUAUCACCUCUCCAAGGGAGGAGUCCCUAACGAUGGGGUCUGGGCCCUGUCAGAGGUGGGUGUGAGCACGAGGUCCCACGAGCCCCGCGGUCACCACGCGCCUGCUCUGUGCCCGCUCCUGCCGCCGUGGGUGCGCUCUGGGCUAUUCAGCGGUGGCCACCAGCUCACGUUUAGCUCCUCCAUAUUUUGUUAACUGGGCCAUGGUCCAUGUCUGUGCGUUUUGAAGAAAUGGAUUCUGGGUAGCUCCUGCCUGCCCACCUCGGGCUGGCCAGGGUGCUGGGAGGGGAGAGUCUCUAAGUGCAGGCGUGUGGGUGGGAGGGGGCCCUGGUCACGUGGGGGCUCCCUGUGCGCUCCGAUUGGUGCUGGGUUUAGACGUCAGACACGCACCAGGACGCCGCAGGAGGAGGUGGGGAGCGGCGCUCCGCCUCCUCCAGUGGCCAGGUGCCCUUUCUCUAAAGGUCCUUCUACCCGAGGACAGUCACGUCCCAUAAACGACAUCCACUCCCGUAAGUCUGUCCAACCAGGGUGCUCGAGGUACAGCGAGCGCCAGGUGGGAUCACACCGACGGGCGGGACUGGAGCAGAUGGCUUCGAGGUUCCCCUGGCUACGCCGUGGCCCUCCCAGGUGUGGACAUUUGGGGAAGAAACACCGUAUGCUGAUUGUCCCGGAGCCCUUUGCUGAAUCAGGCCCCGUGGGGCCAGGGAAAGCUCCCCACAAGUUCCCCCAAGCCCAGAGUCCCUAAAGGAAGUGACCAGGGCACCGAAGAGGAUGGUACUUUCUGGGGCAGCGUCAGGGGGGUUUCUCGAAAAAAUGUUUGUUUUAAACCACACUGAGUUCAGAGGAGGCUGCAGUGGCCCAGAAUCAGGCAUAAAUCCCAGUGUCCUCAACCGCUCCCCAUAACAGCUCAUAAAUCUGGGCAAAGGCGCCUCCCUGGGAGCUGAGAUGCCAAGGACCUAGGCUUCCUUGCCUCCUGCCCUCCCCCAGAGCUGCCAGGGCGGAGCCGGAGGGUCAGGGAUGGGAGAGGGUGUCUGUCCAUCCUGGCGCCAGGGGUAGGUAGAGGUUUGGGGGAGUCUGAAGUUUAUGCACUGGAGGGGAGGGGAGGGCGGUGGAAGAGGGGACGCAGCUUGAAGCAAAAAGUCGUCACGAUUAGGGUUUCAGCAUUGCUAGAGCCCCCACCGUCCAACUCCCCGAGGCGGCUUCAGAAGGGGCGGGGCACACGAGGGGCCGGAGCCAAGUUCCACAGCUUCGGGGUCAGUGCCCCCCUGCCAGGGCGGGGGGCUGGGCUGGCAGGGCCGAGUGGGCUGGCGGGUCCUCCCGAGAGGAGAGCAAGAGGCAGGAGAGGGAAAAACCCGGCAGCGGGCAGAGAUGGCAAGAGAGCUCAUCGCAACUAGAAGACGCGAGAUAGGCGGUAGGAUUUGGGGGCAAGCACGUGCGUGGCACUGCGGAGUUCAGACGCAACCCUGGAAUCGCUACUCCCCGGGACAGCCCGACGAGGGACCGUGUCCAGCGGGUCAGGGCCACGGAAGUCGCUGCCUGGCCUUGGAGCCGAAAGGGGGGCUGGGUGCCAGGCGCGGGCACGCGAGGGCCCAGCAUCUAGGACGCAGCUGAGGGUGGGGAGCGCAGGCGGCGCCCGACACCAGUGGGUGCGGAGGCGGGUCCGCAAGUCUUACUGGAGCCCCAGCCCGCGGGGCGGCGCGGCCCCACAGAGCCCCCCGCCCGCGGCCACCAGGCUCGGUCACCCUCUGGCACCGCCCGAUCCCGCCCUGCUGAGCCCCCCUGGCGAGGGCUCCCUGGCCGCAGGGCCCC